rnacentral:rRNA from 1 species
UAGGGAAUCUUCGGCAAUGGGGGGAACCCUGACCGAGCAACGCCUCGUGAGUGAAGAAGGUUUUCGUAUCGUAAAGCUCUGUUGUUAAGGAAGAACGAGUGUGAGAAUGGAAAGUUCAUACUGUGACGGUACUUAACCAGAAAGGGACGGCUAACUACGUGCCAGCAGCCGCGGUAAUACGUAGGUCCCGAGCGUUGUCCGGAUUUAUUGGGCGUAAAGCGAGCGCAGGCGGUUAGAUAAGUCUGAAGUUAAAGGCAGUGGCUCAACCAUUGUAGGCUUUGGAAACUGUUUAACUUGAGUGCAGAAGGGGAGAGUGGAAUUCCAUGUGUAGCGGUGAAAUGCGUAGAUAUAUGGAGGAACACCAGUGGCGAAGGCGACUCUCUGGUCUGUAACUGACGCAGAGGCUCGAAAGCGUGGGUAGCAAACAGG